UUGAAUAACUUGGUGUUGAGCUGGCCCUAUUGGGCAUGUGCUCGCAUCAUAUUAUUUAUCUAUCUCUUGUGCACCUUUUGUAGUCUUUGUAGCACUCGCAGUCAAUGCGGUUUUGGGGCUUGGGCUUUGCCCUUUCCCCUGUUUGCUUCAAAGGCUAUGUUUUAUACACACUAUUGAAGUUACAGAAUGUCUCUUAUUGACUCUCGAGUCAGUAAAUCUAUA
rnacentral:misc_RNA from 1 species